GACCGCUCUGGUACCCUAGUGGUAUGAGCGUCCGCCUCGUAUGCGGGAGGUCGUGGGUUCGAAUCCCAGCCGAGUCA